CUAACGGUCGAACAUCGUCAAAUGGCUUCUGUUUUGUUGGAUAUUUUUAUAAGUGUCAAGUGCAUUAGUUUCAUUGAAGAAGUUAUUUCAUUUAAGAAGGAAAAGUUAUUAUUGUGUGUGGCAAUUUCGAAGACCAUUUUAUUGUUAGUUCAUCAAUUAUUAUUUCCAAGAUUUUAUUCCUAUCCUGGAUGGCUUGGAGUGUCACGUACGAUAAGGACACAAAAUUCACACAGACUUUUUAAAACUCGGUCUAUUUUUACGGUUAUUUUUCACAUUUUCUGAAUGGAAAUUUAACUUGAAAGUAGGGAUCUCCGAGGGCUAUUUAGUUUGAAACAAUCUUCUUGAAGCUGAAAAUUCGCUAUUAAGGUAUACGAUUCGCUACAAGUAGAACAAUUCUGGGUCAAAUUCCGUUGAUAGGAAUAAAUUUUCCAAAUUCUCAUCAUCAUCAUUAUGGAUAGAAAAGGUGAUUGGAAAUUUAGCAGCGUUACUUAACUUAACCGCGAAUAGCUUCGGGAGUGUUCGAAUUUUCUAAAAUCGCGAUCGAUUAUAAUAAUUAGUGUAAAAAUUUUUUUUUUUUCGUUUUGAAAGUGAUUUCAAGUGGGUUCGUCCUUGAGGAUCUGUUCCAUCAACGGGGGAAAUUCAUAUCGGUCAAGCUGAGGCAUGGAAUGCAGGAAAUAUUUAAAACUACGCAACAAAUAUGGUAAGUUUGUCUUAUUUUUUUUCUCCAAAAUUGCCUGAAAUAUAAA